UACGUAGGUGGCAAGCGUUAUCCGGAAUUAUUGGGCGUAAAGCGCUCGCAGGCGGUCCUUUAAGUCUGAUGUGAAAGCCCACGGCUCAACCGUGGAGGGUCAUUGGAAACUGGGGGACUUGAGUGCAGAAGAGGAGAGUGGAAUUCCACGUGUAGCGGUGAAAUGCGUAGAGAUGUGGAGGAACACCAGUGGCGAAGGCGACUCUCUGGUCUGUAACUGACGCUGAGGAGCGAAAGCGUGGGGAGCGAACAGG
rnacentral:rRNA from 1 species